rnacentral:lncRNA from 1 species
UUCGUUCAUGUCCAAACACAACUGAAUCAAAUACUCUUUUUCAUCUUCUAUUUCAAUUUUUUUUAAUAUAUCUAUAUGAGUGCUUACCAUGUUCGCGAAUACCUUGCGCAAGAUAGUCCAUCCUUUCUCCCACUUUGCUCAUCUUACCAAUCACAAAUUUUCCUGCAUAUUCAAGAAUAUUUUUAUCUUUAAGAUUUCUUUAUUCAAGGGUCAUUAAUACUCAGUACUAGUACAGGAACAAGUUGAUGCAUCAAGAGACAACGGAAAUACUCACUUUGCUUUAAUUUAGAUAAGAUCUUUGAAGUUACAGAUAGAAUAAUAUGGUCUUGGCAAGAAGACAGGGGUUGGCUGCCUUUCAAAUGAGCAUACUGCUGAAUUCAUUGGAAUAUCCACCACAUUUCCACUGAGUAAGUUCUUCAUUGUAUUUCUGAUUCUGCAGUGGAAUAUUGCUGUAUUGUGAAUUGUGAUGGUCAGUGAGAAAUAUUUAAGUUUAAGAACAUUUCUUAUAUAAUUAUAUAUAGGGGUUUGAGGAGAAGUUGAGGAAUCUUUUUACUAAUUGUUGCUUGAGUCACCUUUGGGUCAUCAAGAACCAUAAAAGAUAAUGCAUGUGCUUUUUUAGAAUUUUCUUUUGUACCAAGAAGAAAAGGUUGUCAGGAAUAUGGAAUGUCGGCUGAGAGUUUCAAAAGUUUCAGUGUCUUCCAUUAUUUUUUGUUAAUUGUAAUUUGAAAAAUUCAAAAUCUAAGUGCAGUGCAUGUUCAACCUCUCCUUUCUUUUCUUUGUUUUCCCUUUGCUUUGUGUCCCUCUCUCUCUAUAUAUAUAUCUCACACACACAUAAAGGUGCGGUCCAGUUAAGUUUGUGGGCACCUCAACUAUUCCUUCGGUUGAUACCUGCGACCUCCUAUCAACACAAGUUCUAAGUAAUGCUACUCACCAAAACUAAGGUAGAUGAGUAAUCACCUAAUGUUUUUAGUGUUUGCUGUGAAUUAAACCCUGGUCUCUCAUGCUUUUAAUCUAUGUCUUACUAUUGCUGCAUAGGUUUUGAAAAUGUCUUUCUUUUAGUUAUCGGGUCGAUUACAGUAAACUAAUCUCAUUGCUGACGAAUUUUGUUAUCAAGAUUUGGGGGCACAUGUGGUGUUUCUAACUUUUGAGUUGGCAGAUUUGCUUUGUCAUGUACCUACUUUUGCAAGUUGAGUAAAAGUAAGAGUAACCUAUGCAUUUUGAAGUCAUCUUAUCAAAACCUAAACGACCUUUUGUACUUUUCUAUGCAUAUCGAUUCAUAAAUUCCAUUCAUGGGCCACAUUUCUCUACAGUCACAUGUGAUAUUUGUUUUUCUAACCAUAAUCUUAUUUUAGUUUCUUCUACAACUUAAAAUUUCACUUGGUAUUAUCAUAUGGCACUUCUUUAUGGCUCUGAGUUGAUAAUCUUUUAUAUGUAAAAGGAUUUAAUAAGCAUUUAUUUUAAAUAAAACUAAUAGUUUGACUUCAUACAGGACUAUGUUAUGACUCUGAAGUUGAACCGUCUUUGCUGAGAAGCAAGUUGUUCUUGUUGGAUUGUUACAUCCGGUAAAACUUACCCGCACACGGUUUUUACAACAAUCCAACGAAUACAUG